AACGAACGCUGGCGGCAUGCCUAACACAUGCAAGUCGAACGAGACCUUCGGGUCUAGUGGCGCACGGGUGCGUAACGCGUGGGAACCUGCCCUUAGGUUCGGAAUAACUCCCCGAAAGGGGUGCUAAUACCGGAUAAUGUCUUCGGACCAAAGAUUUAUUGCCUUUGGAUGGGCCCGCGUUGGAUUAGCUAGUUGGUAGGGUAAAAGCCUACCAAGGCGACGAUCCAUAGCUGGUCUGAGAGGAUGAUCAGCCACACUGGGACUGAGACACGGCCCAGACUCCUACGGGAAGCAGCAGUGGGGAAUAUUGGACAAUGGGCGAAAGCCUGAUCCAGCAAUGCCGCGUGAGUGAUGAAGGCCUUAGGGUUGUAAAGCUCUUUUACCCGGGAUGAUAAUGACAGUACCGGGAGAAUAAGCGCCGGCUAACUCCGUG
rnacentral:rRNA from 1 species